rnacentral:lncRNA from 1 species
AAUACAAGCUUCGCUGUCAAUAUUCACGAGGAUUUCUUCAAACAACACAUUUCAACUGUGUAUCCUGGUCUGCUCUCCCCUAUCAUCGCUACCCCGGUACGUACCUUGAAACCUAUGAUUCACUGAUAAGAGUAAAAACGAUUAGCAUAAACCUUCUUCCUUUAAGUCAAAUAAUUAGAAUAAUAUUAAUUAUUGUUUAACUACUUCAUUUGUUUUUUUUAAAUAUUCUUUGCUUUAAACAUUGUCUAUUUUUUGAAAUCUUUAACCCAAUCUCUUGAACACAAUAUGUCACAAUCAUUUCUAAAGGCACACAUCACUAAAUCAUAUAACCUUCCGGAUGUACUCCUCUGAUAUAUUGCUGUAGAGUCACGUACUCCUUCAGUCCGUUGCUUUUGAUGUAUAGUACUCGUGCCACAAAUUACUUUCGAUACUAGCUUCACGCUCGCUUCAAAAGAAAUUGAUUAUGAAUCACAGCAGUUGGACAAUAAGUUAUUCGGUUCUCCGCAGGUUUUCUGAUAUUACCAUCACAGGGCUAUAUUACGGAAAGCGUACAGAUCGUGAUGUCUUGAUUUCAAACCACGGUGAGCCCUGCAUCUUUAUCAUUCCGGCUUUAUUGACAGAUCAAUAAUAAAAUACAUAUCAACAACACAGUCAUACACAUAACGCACAGGCACAUACAAACACACACAGAAAUACGCAUAUGCAUACUCACACAUACACACGCGCGCGCUCACGAGCAACACAUCUAUCUAUCUAUCUAUCUAUCUAUCUAUCUAUCUAUCUAUCUAUCUAUCUAUCUAUCUAUCUAUCUAUCUAUCUAUCUAUCUAUCUAUCUAUCUAUCUAUCUAUCUAUCUAUGUAUCCAUCUAUCUAUCUAUCUAUCUAUCUAUCUAUCUAUCUAUCUAUCUAUCUAUCUAUCUAUCUAUCUAUCUAUCCAUCUAUCUAUCUAUCUAUCUAUCUUACGAUCCCUUUUGAUUGAAAAACUACCCCACUUUUUUUCUUCUUUUCUCCCCAAAAGGAAAAGCUCUACUUUGUGAUCUGUCCCGUCUGUGUGCAGCCCUGUGUGGCUAACAAAAAUAUCUAUCUAUCUAUCUAUCUAUCUAUCUAUCUAUCUAUCUAUCUAUCUAUCUAUCUAUCUAUCUAUCUAUCUAUCUAUCUAUCUUACGAUCCCUUUUGAUUGAAAAACUACCCCACUUUUUUUCUUCUUUUCUCCCCAAAAGGAAAAGCUCUACUUUGUGAUCUGUCCCGUCUGUGUGCAGCCCUGUGUGGCUAACAAAAAUAUCUAUCUAUCUAUCUAUCUAUCUAUCUAUCUAUCUAUCUAUCUAUCUAUCUAUCUAUCUAUCUAUCUAUCUAUGUCUCUCUGCCUGAUUUUUCUUCCUUUUUUUGUUUCUUUCUUUUUUCCUGGUCUCUCCUUUUCUCUCUCUCUCUCCCUGUGUACACACACACAUACACACACGCACACACAUAUAUAUAUAUAUAUAUGUAUGUAUAUCCCUCUCUAUAAACAUAUGUACACAUAUACAUACGUACAUACACACAUACACACACAUACACCCCUCACACAUGCACAUGUAUAUGCACUUUCACAUAUAUAUGUACAUACAUAAAGGAAUUCUCGCAUUACACAAGAUUUAUCAAUUUAUACUAUGACUAAAGUAAGAUAUCUCGUAGCUAGCAUUACAAACGUAAAGCGGAGUAUUACGUUACAACGCAGUUUAUCUAUAGAGAAAAUUGUAUCGAUAGUAUUUCAAAAUUUUUGUAGCUUUAAAUCACCAAAGACAUUAUAGAUAUAUUAUAAUAACUUCAGAUAUCUACUUUUAGUUGACUAUAAUUUGAAGGUAUAGAAAAUUUCAUCAAACUUUUACGAAUGCAAUUUUAGAAAUUUGUUUCUUUUUUACCGAUUAUUGCAAAACUCGAACAGGUUAAAAUUUAUGGUGAUAUGUAUUACAUACACGUACACACAGGUACACACUCCCGAAGAGAGAGAAAAUCAAACAGAAACUCACACACACACACGUGUAUGUAUACGUCACAUAUAUAUGUAUAUAAAUACAUUUUUCAUACGCAUAUAUACAUACAUAUACAUACUCGCAGAAACCUAAAUACAUAAGGCGGCAAUCUGGCAGAAACGUUAACACGCCGGGCGAAAUGCUCACCGGUAUGUCGAUUGCCGUUACGUUCUGAGUUCAAAUUCCGCCGAGGUCGACUUUGCCUUCCAUCCUUUCGAGGUCGAUAAAUUAAGUACCAGUUACGCACUGGGGACAAUGUAAUCGACUUAAUCCGUUUGUCUGUCCUUGUUUGUCCUCUCUGUGUUUAACCCUUGUGGGUAGUAAAGAAAUAGGUAUUUCGUCUGCCGUUACGUUCUGAGGUCGACUUUGCUUUUCAUGCUUUCAGGAUCGAUAAAUUAAGUACCAGUUACGCACUGGGGUCAGUAUAAUCGAUUUAAUCCCUUUGUCUGUCUUAGUUUGUCCCCUCUAUGUUUAGCCCCUUGUAAGCAAUAAAGAAAUAAGAAAUCUAAAUACAUAUUUUCAUACAUGUAUAUGCGCAUACACACACACACACACACACACACACACACACACACACAAACGUAUGCAUAUGAAACAAAGAAGUGCUUCUGUCUCUCGAAAACUCCGGGAAUUCAGAAAAUAUUACGGAAGAAAUGGCGUAGUUAUCAUUACAAAACGAAAAUAAUCAAAAUCAUAACAUAGUACCAAAUAAUAUUGAAAUUAGAAAAACUUAAUAAUUUCUACUAAAUUUACUUUUAAAUUAAUUCGAAUUCUGUGAAAGCGAAAUAACCAUAUCUGGCAUUUUGGUCAUUAGGCAAGUGUAGCUCAUAUUAAUAGCUAAGGAUGCAAAAUAGAAUCCUAUAAUAAAACUAUUCUACGCGAGAUAUUUGUUGUAAUAUAAUGGUAAUCCAAAAAAUGCUAAGUUAGCGAAUAUUUGUUUUGAAUGUGAAUUUACAGGUUUGAAUGCGCAAGAACAACACCAUCCCGAAUAGCGAACUGAUGUAAGGUUUGUACGUUCAAUAUGAAUGUCACCUGUGUGCAGUAAUCUAACUAGAAGAACCUGCAAUAUUAUUAACCAAUAUAAAUAUAGAACGGGAGAACGUAGGAAACAUAAUGGAUAAAUAUUUACACCAAAUUUGAUGCCUUAGGAAUAGGGAGAACUUCUCUUACUGCACACGAGAAUUGACUACAAACGUCUGACACAAGAGAUGAAAGCCGAGGGAAAUUAAUAAAUAGAAAAAAGAUUAACUAGAAGCCCUUAAUCAGAUGAAAUACAAUAAAAUGGAUAUCAUUGUUGAAGAGACUAAAUACUAAAUAUAUUUCACUUGCAGAUCAAACAUGUGGCCAUACAUAUAACGAUGAGCUCUUACACUCCAUAUGUCCAACAGGAAUACCUAUUUGGUACUGGAUUCUUCUUUGAACAUCAUUAUCAAUUUAGGUUCUAUAACGGAAUUUAACAACUCGUUUUCCAUUCCUUCGAACUAAGCACCAAUGAUUAACAUGUCUUUGCAAAAUGCUAUGCAUACAUACAUACAUACGUAUAUGCAUACAUACAUACAUAUAUAUAUAUAUAUAUAUAUAUAUAUAUAUACUCACACGCGCACGCACACACACACACACACACACACAUAUAUUAAAUGUGGCUUCAAAAGAGAGAUGAAAGUAUAUCAGCCUUGCCUUAUUGAUAUUUAUAUCUUGCACUACAACGGGCCAACGCAAUUUCUAGAUCUUAUCUUCAAUUACUCAUUACGUCACUUAACAUGCAAUGUUAAAAUCAUACCAAAUUUUACCUUUGACCUUUUCUGAUUCAAUUCGAUAAAUGCCAGGAAUACGGCGUGCCAUUUGAUAAUUUAUACAUCAUCUUCAUAAUACGAUAAAUUAUAAUUUCUAAUUAUGUACCGCAAAUCUAAUCUGUUUGGGUCUCCAGGCAAAUAUCAUAUACACUCUAUGGACGUCUAUAUGCGAAUAUGUAUGAACGUGUGUGUGUAUCUGUAAGUUUGUGUGUGUGUGUGUGUGUGCAUUUGUGUGUGUAUGUGUGUAAGCUUGUGUGUGCGUGUGACCAUGUGAAUAUGCGUGAUUGAGCGUCUGUGAGAUAAUGUGUAGUUGUGUAUGUGUAUUCCUUAUGGUCCAUAAAUCUAUGAAUAUUUCACAAAGCUAAUGGGUAGAAUCGAACCUCAGCUGUUGAACAUCGAAUCGUGUGAGCAACGGUAUAGUGCGAGUUGAAGUAAAUACCUUUUGGUAUGAAAUAGCAAGAAUUGUUGAGAUUUCUAAUUUGUCAUUUAGUUGUGUGAUAGGUAAUUAAGAAAUAAUGAUGUUACUUGGGUCAUCGAUAGUGUAUCUUACAAUUAAUGAUGGAUGGAAUGAGAGAGACAAAGGUUUUACAAGCUUAAUGGAAGAUGAUUCUAGAAAUGAAAUAUAGCUGUGCAACCGACUUGAUGAACUUGGAAUGUUUCUUUCCUGAAAGUCAAUGUAAAGAGCUCUCAAGUAAAUUCAUUCCACUAUUUAGUCAGAACUCGCAAGACUGUGAGUUCAGAUUUCAUUAGAUUUACUUAUAAUUUUAAUCCCUCUAUCUUUCAUUCUUUAGUAAGUAGGAAUAUAUUAAGGAAGCUUCAUUAGUUAACAGUAACACUUCGACAUCAAUUCAUUAAUGUAACGUCCAUUUUCCUUUGACAUUGGUUCUUUGUGCUCGAGGAGAAAAAGUCAAAUAUAUGUAUAUGUUUCGUCAACAACGGUGUAUAACGUGUGAGGAAAAUGUAUGUUCAGAGAAACCCCGAUCAAUUAUACAAGGUCAGUUUACUGUCUACUUAAUGUCACUUCAUAUCUAUGUUUUGCUAGUAUUGAGAAUCGCACGAAGAACCAAAUUUAUUUUAGGUUCACUUUUAAAUUAUUCAUCGUAGUAACCACAAAAAAGGAAACGUGAAAAAAUUAUAUUACGUAACUUUUGUUAUCUAGUUAAUAACCAACAGUAAACUAUAUAGUUUCCUAUUGUAAAUAUAAAGAUCAUAUUUGCAUCCUAUAAGGGUACAUUAGGCGAAUUUGCACUUAAUGUUUUGCAUAAUGUACUAUUAUAGGCGUAGGCGUAGCUGUGUGGUAAGAAGCUUGCUUCUCAACCACAUGGUUUCGGGUUCAGUCCCACUGCAUGGUACCUUGGGCGAGUGACUUCUACUUUAGUCUCGGACUGACAAAGACUUGUGACUGGAUUUCGCAGACGGAAACUGAAAGAUGCACGUCGCAGGAAUGUGUGUGCGUGUGUGUGUAUGUGCGUGUGCAUGUGUGUUUGUGUGUGUGUGUGUGUGUGUGUGUAUGUGUGUGUGCGUGCGUGCCCGCAACUUAGCGGUUCUGAAAGAGAUAGAAUAUUUACUAGGCUUAAAAACGAACUGGAGUCGAUUCAUUUCACUGAUAAUAAAAGGUGGUGCUCCAGCAUGGACGCAGUGAAAUGACUAAAACAAGUAAAAUAAAAAAAAUAACGAUAAAAGUAAAAAUUUAUUUAAGAGAAAGCAAAAUGUGUCAAUCGAUCUGUUUUCAAGACUGAGAUGAUACCAAUUCACAUCACUUCCAUUCAAGGAUAAAAUAAUUAUAUAAAAUCCAUUCUGUCUGUGUGUGUGUCUUCUAGGAUCUCGGGCAUCCUCCAUCCGAUUACGCUCAAAUUUGAUGUAUAGAAACCGACGGUAUCAGGGCGUGCAUAAGUCUUCAAAAAAUUUCAAAAAUCGAUUCCAGGUGAGAAUGCGAUAGAUAAAGCCUUGGGAACGUGCAUUUGAACGCGCAAAUACACCAGCUGUUGCAAUCGAUACUACGCGUGUGUGAGAAAAAUGCACGUGCAGUUUGCGUAAAAAAAGCCGGUUGGCUUGAAAUAAUGCCACAAAAUGCAGUAUAUUUAAGAGACCAAAAAAGUAAAAUGCAAAAGAGAUAUAUUCUUCAAACCUGGCAUGAAGGAAGGAAAGACUACUUGGUUUCUCAAGAAGUUUUUUUUUUUAGCCUUAACUUCGUUUAACAAAACCAAAAAUUUUAUUGAAAUAAAGGCAUGCUUAAUUAUUUUUUAAUGAAAAGAAAACACUGAUUGGUUUUUAUUCAGUAGAUAGGAUUCAGCACCAUCCAUUGGACGGCGGGGGGGGGCGUUUUGCUCGUUUUUGAUAAAGCCGUUGACAAUAUUAAAUUCAAUGUCCUGCUUUAAGUGGUUUAUGAAUGAUUGAAUAAUUUUUAGCAUAAUAUUUGUUGUACAACAAGUAAGAAGCGCCUGACAAACGGAAAAUGGAUUAUAGGUUCAAUUCUAAGUAGAAUCCAUUUCACUUGAAUGAUAUCUCUAAUAUCUUGUGGAAAGACAUACGUCUCACAACAUCCCAUUUAACUGUAACUGAUAAUCGAGUCAAAAACAAAUGAAUAUUAUCUUAAAGAUUAAUUCUAGUCAUCACUAUACGGGGAGGCUAACUCGAAAUUGAAAUUAAUUUAAUUUGAUAAGGAAAUCAAAAAUGGAAUCGUUGUAAACGAUGAUUUAACUCAUUAUAUUAGGUAUGGUUGCAUGACAUUUAAUAUUAACUAGCAGUAUCACCCGGCGUUGCUCGGGUUUUUUUCGACCCUUUAGGAUUGGAAUUUUUGAAAAGUAAAACUUUUGCAUUAUGUAGCUUGUUAUUCUCUUUAAGUGAACAUCUUUCUGGUUGAAAUACACCAAAAAAAUGGCGACAUAGCAGUCAAAAAAUCGUAAAAAAAGGGAUUUUUAUAGGAAAAAAGCACCUUUUUGAUGUAAAUAAUUUUUGGUGUUAACAUGGUCGGAUUUGAAAUUUGUUCUACUACGGAAGGAAGAGGAAGCCUUCUUCUAUCAUACUCUCAAUUUUGGUCAACUUGCGCCGCAAGGCCUCGGAAGAGAUAGUGUUAGUUGAAGGCUACCAAACCUGCCAUACACAGACAACUUCAGUUUAUUUCGACCCUUUAGAAUUGGAAUUUUUGAAAAGUAAAAACUUUGCAUUAUGUAGCUUGUUAUUCACUUUAAGUGAACAUUUUUCUGGUUGAAAUAUACCAAAAAAUGGCGACACAGCAGUCAAAAAAUCGUAAAAAAAGGGAUUUUCAUAGGAGAAAAGCAACUUUUUGAUGUAAAUAAAUUUUCGUGUUAACAUGAUCGGAUUUGAAAUUUGUUCUUCUACGGAAUGAAGAGGAAGCCUUCUUCUUUCAUACUCUCAAUUUUGGUCAACUUGCGCCGCAAGGCAUCGGAGCAGAUAAUGUUAGAUGAAGGCUACCAAACCUGCCAUACACAGACAACUUCAGUUCUAUAUAGAGAGAGAUUUCUAAUUUGAAAUCUUUUCCUAAUUAUUCUUUUACAAUUCGUUUGGAUCAUUAAAGUUCCUAGUCCUAAUGAUGUCUGUAGUCGUUUACGGUCUCAUUUCAGGGAUAAAGUACUUGUUGAAGGUCUAUGAUAUAGCCCUUCAUGUCAGUGUUAUUGUUUAUGUGACUAAAAAUCCUCAUUGAAGAGACAUAUGGGAUGCAUUCCAGCCGUGGUUACAUCAAUUUUACAGUUACCGGGUAUCUUAUAGUCGUGAUUCAUAUCGAGCCCUUCUGGGUAUUAUCGCGCGUCUACGAUUAGUCUACGAUUUAAAAAAUAAAAUUUACCAUCAAUUUUUCCCAUUUUUAAUGAAUUUUUGGCAUAUAUAAGGGAAAUAACUCUCUAAAGAUUUAUUAUUAAAUCUCAGAACGUAAAAAGCUACAGUAACACCCCCCCCCCUUUGUGGUUAGCCAUAUUGAGAUGGCCAUUAUACUUUACAUCUCUAAAAAUGCUUAUAUAGUUAUUUCCCUUACAAACCCGAGCAACGCCGGGCGAUACUGCUAGUAUGAUAUAUAGGACUACAACACUCACUCAUCGCCUUCUGUUCUAUUUUCAAAGAUUAGGUUACGUUAUACGGGAGAAUGUUAGGUUAUGAUAUACAGGAGAAUUAGCUGCUCUUUCUAGUUAGUCGAGAAUCCACGUAAAGUAUUUCAUGUAGUUUCCCUUUACUCUUAAACGUAUGCAAGUGGCAUGGAAUUGACGGUCUUCUUGUAUUUUUCAAAUUUCUCAAGAGAGAAGACUGCACACACACACACGCACACAUGCACGCACACACAUACGUACGCACGCACACGCACAUGGCUAUAUACAUGCCUGUUUCUUUAUAUCUCCAUCCAUCCAUCUAUCUAUCUAUCUAUCUAUCUAUCUAUCUAUCUAUCUAUCUAUCUAUCUGUCUGUCUAUCUUUCUACCUACCUACCUACCUAUCUAUCUAUAUGUAUAUCUAUCUAUCUACCUACCUACCUACCUACCUACCUACCUACCUACCUAUCUAUCUAUCUAUCUAUUUAUCUAUCUAUAUAUAUAUCUGUUCAUUUCUCUCACUCUCUCCUCUGUGCGUGCAUAUAUAUAUAUAUAUAUAUAUAUAUAUAUAUAUAUAUAUAUAUAUACAUAUAUAUAUAUGUAUAUAUAUACACCACACAAACAUAUUCUUACACACGUUUAUACAUAUAUAGAUAAACGCAAGCAUAUAUCGACACCAAUAAAUUCCAUCAUGCUUACAUUCUAGUAUCCAAGACCUUCGUACUGACAAGAUAUAAAAGUAUAUAAAAGGUACUGAAAGCCCGUACAGUUUAAUGCAUCGGCUACGGAGCAAUAUCGAAUUGUUUAACAGAAUGGUGGCCAUUCUACCGAAAUUACUUCCACCAUAACAUCGAAAGCAAUGAUAUGGCAUCAAUUUAUCCAUUUAUUUCGAAAAUCAUACUGACAGGAUGCUCUCUGUAAAGGGAUUAGGAAAUUAAAGCUAUAACUCUGCAAGCUUAUUACUAAAUGAAACUGUCACAGCAUUAAAUGUGCUGACCAAUAUAAUUUGAGUCUGUUAUAAAAAGGUCACGUGGGCUAAAGUCAUUCGCAUAUAAAAUUCUGAAAAGUCAUUCCGCGUAAUACAGUUAUUGCGUCAGUAAAGAAAAAAAAAAGAGAGUAAUGUAUGUGUAAAUGUAUAUAUAUAUAUGUCUAUAUAUGCGUGCAUAAAUAUGUACCUUUAUCAAUGUUCUUAUCAACAGAAUUAUAAUUCAAAAUAAAUGUCUUUUUGAGAAAAAAUUGAAAUGGGUUUUGAUUUGGUGAUAGGGAAUUGGACAGAUAAAAAAGUAAAUGAAAGUAAUAAAGAGAUUAUGCGUCUAGGCCGAUUUAUCAGAAAAAAAGGUAGUAUCAAGUAAUUGAAAAAUAAAUAGUGUAAAUGGCUGAGUACACCAGUGUCAUUUUUAGCUGUAAUGUUCAAGUUGUAUCUGCUUGAAUCUGUAUGUGUCAAGCCAGCUUUUUUCAAUUACAGACAUAAUCCACCGGAAAGGCUUCGUCGCAGCUUUCAAGAAUUCAAUUCCACUCAGAAGUCUUGGAUAAACACGGCUUAGUGGUAAACGAUGGACGAUCCUCUAGGAAGGAAGGCAGUAGGAUAGAAGGCGGAAUGUUAUGAUUGCAAAUUUACUCACUUGACCAUUGUACCAUUCUGGCAUCUGCGUAAGAUAAAUGCACAGCGCAUGCGUACGCACACACACAUACACGCACACACACGCAACCAAAGGUGUAUGUGGCUCUGUGCGAAUAUGAAUAGGUAUGUAUAUGUACAUGGCUAUACAUAUACAUAUAUACCUACAUACAUACAUAUAUAUAUAUAUAUAUAUAUAUAUAUAUAUAUAUAUAUAUAUAUAUAUAUAUAUAUAUAUAUAUAUAUAUAUAUAUAUAUAUAUAUAUAUAUAUAUAUAUAUAUAUAUAUAUAUAUAUUUAUAUGUAUAUAUAUGUAUAUAUAUAUAUAUAUAUAUAUAUAUAUAUAUAUAUAUAUAUAUAUAUAUAUAUAUAUAUAUAUAUAUAUAUAUAUAUAUAUAUAUAUAUAUAUAUAUAUAUAUAUAUAUAUAUAUAUAUAUAUAUAUUUAUAUGUAUAUAUAUGUAUAUAUAUAUAUAUAUAUGCUGGUGCUGUUUAGUGCUCUUGUUCACUAUAUUGACGUAUAUAUUUUUGGCUUUAGGUUGUCAAAUUGCGAAUUAGCCAACCAUAUUAUGUGUGUGUGUGUGUAUGUGUGUUAUAAAAAUACUUCAAGAAGAUAUAUCAAAAAUAUAUUUCCGUUCGGGCAAACAUAAACAAAUUGAAGAGGAUAAGAAUAUUCUUUUCUACUCUAGGCACAAGGCCUGAAUUUUUUGGAGUGGGUGAGGGGCAGUCGAUCAAAUCGACCCCAGUACGCAAAUACGUACUUAAUAUAUCGACCCCGACAGGAUAAAAGGCAAAAUCGACAUCGGCGGAAUUUGAACUCAGAACAUAAGGAGAGACGAAAUACCUAUUUCUUUACUACCCACUAGGAGCUAAAUACAGAGGGGACAAACUAGGACAGGCAAACGGAUUAAGUCGAUUAUAUCGACCCCAGUGUGUAACUGGUACUUAUUCAAUCGACCCUGAAAGGAUGAAAGGCAAAGUCGACCUCGGCGUAAUUUGAAUUCAGAACGUAACGACAGACGAAAAACGGCUACGCAUUUCGCCCGGCGUGCUAACGGUUCUGCCACCUCGCCGCCAUUUGAAGAGAGUAAGAAUGCUUUAAAUAUUUACAGUGAGGAACCAAAGACAACGAUCACUAUGUAUAGUCGUUGCCCUAUCGCGUGUAGCUGCUCCGCAACAUUGCAAACGCAACACUCGGUUUGCAUCCGCAAAACGCUUGUCGAACUGUGUGCCUUUAUUACUGGCGCAUGCGCAGAACUAUCCUCUGUACUUCGUUCUAUGCAUUAAAUAUAUAUUAAAGGCGGCGAGCUGGCAGAAACGUUAGCGCGCCUGGCGAAAUGCUUAUCGGUAUUUCGUCUGUCGUUACGUUCUGUGUUCAAAUUUCGCCGAGGUCGACUUUGCCUUUCAUCCUUUCGGGGUCGAUAAAUUAAGUACCAGUUACGCACUGGGGUCGAUGUAAUCCACUUGAUCCCUUUGUCUGUCCUUGUUUGUCCCCUCUCUGUUUAGCCCCUUGUGGGUAGUAAAGAAAUAGAUAUAUUAAACGCACACGCAAACACACGCUCGCACACGCACGCACCCAUAAGCACAUAUAUUACAGCAGGUGUCAUGAUGCGCUCUGUCGUUAAGCAAGAAAUGCUAAUUAAUUAUAACGACACUAUUAAUGAUGAGAACAGUUAUUUUAUAAAUGACUAAUCCAUGUUAAAUAGAGUUGUAAUAAUAGAAAAUCAAUGAAUUAGAGAUUUUAGUACGCGCGUUAGUGUGAUGCAUAGAAAUUUAGUGUUAACGCAUGUUUCAAUAUUUAUAGACCUCGUCAGUGACGCAUAGCCUGUUGCAUAUAUAGAUUAAUUACUGCUUUACAUCAUUGCCUUUCAAAUGACGUAAUCUGUGGCUUUGAACUAUCAACAGCUUAUUAUCUUCGUCUGAAAGUGUUUCACAUUAUUAUUUAGCGAUGCCUUCGAGGAAUACCUCAAAUGUCACUGGUGAUAUAUGUAGCGAAUUUAUUUAUCCGAAAAUUUUGGGAGAAUAAAACAGCAAAUACUAUUUAUACUUAGUGUAGAUCCAGAAAUAUAAGUUCGGUGACCUUUGCUUUGCUUUACUGAUUUAAAAUCAAGGACACCAACAGCUGAAGAACUACUACUACUACUACUACUACUACUACUACUACUACUACUACUACUACUACUACUACUACUACUACUAUUACUGGCGCUGCUGCUCGUCUGCCGUUACGUUCUGAGUUCAAAUUCCGCUGAGGUCGACUUUGUCUUUCAUCCUUUCGGGGUCGAUAAAUUAAGUACCAGUUACGCACCGGGGUCGAUGCCCCCUCUAUGUUUAUCCCCUUGUGGGCAAUAAAGAAAUGAGGUAGAUUUCCUUUGCUUGGUUGCUGUAGCGAAAGAGGUUGUCUGGUGGACGAGGCUGAAACGAAUGAGGACAGAAACAUUCCCGUUCGGUAAAGCAACUCAUCGAGUUUUUAAAAUUUUACUUGAAAAGGAAAGUGAGGGUGGAAAGGAAGGCGCUGUCCUCGAGGGAAUCUAUGAAAAGGUGGGUGAAAGUUGCGAAAAUGCCAAGAAAGGGUGGUACCUGUUUGUUGGAGGAAAGGAGUUGGAAAAUGUAUUCAGGGUGAUCUUGGAUGGUGGGAUUCGUCGAUUAUACCUAGAAGUCCACCUGUAUCAGGAGGACCCCAUCACAAUUUUAUGUUUCUUUAUUUCUUACAUAUUGCUGUAUACUAUAUAUACUUGACUUCUAUUCAUGCAUACUGAGUACCUUUCUUAUUUACUUUUAUUUUUAUCAUUCCAUCAUAUGUAAUCCUCGACACUUUUUGUCUGUCUUUGUAUUGUCCACCUCGUCCUUCACUCUGGUGGCAAAUAAAAGAAAUUAUUAUUAUUAUUAUUAUUAUUAUUAUUAUUAUUAUUAUUAUUAUUAUUAUUAUUAUUAUUAUUAUUAUUAUUAUUAUUAUUAUUAUUAUUAUUAUUAUUAUUAUUAUUCUAUGUUUGACUUUUGCUUUAUAUUUGUAGAAGUUGGUUCCAAGUCUCACCCACAAGAGACAACAGGUUGGAUGUUCAUGUUAUUAUGCCUAGUGUGCCAUAUAUUUGGGGGUUUUUUUGGUGUUGUACUAGUGAAUGUCCAAAAAAAAAAAAAAACAAAAUUAUUUGUUUUAAACCCUGAGAUUACAUAGAAAGUAUUUUGCGUAGGAUAUGAGCAGUUCCCAUGAGCACUAUCUUUUGAAUUUCUGCCAUUUUUGGGUUUCCUGGUAUCUGAGUUAGAUAGCAAUCAGCCCCUUUCGCUAUCAUUCCCAGGGCACCUAUGACAACAGAUAUUGUUUUAGUUUUCAAGUUCCACAUUUUGCUGAUUUCUAUUUCAAGAUCUUUAUAUUUGCUCAGUUUUUGGUAGGUCUUGACAGAUACGUUUAUAUCGAUUGGGACAGUCAUAUCAAUGAGGAGGCAUGUUCUUUGUCUGAAGUCUUUUAAUAUGAUGUCUGGCCUAUUUGUAUCUAUCUUUCUGUCAGUUUUAAUGGUGAAGUUCCAGAGGAGUGAGAUGUGGUCAUUUUCAAGCACUGGAGGUGGUUUGUGUUCCCACCAGUUCAUCAUCAUCAUCAUCAUCAUCAUCAUCAUCAUCAUCAUCAUCAUCAUCAUCAUUAUUAUUAUCAUUAUUAUUAUUUUAAAGAUUCAAGAAAUAAUGAAAGAAAAUCUUAAUUAGAAGCAAAUUCUUUUAGAAGUUAAUAAGUGGGUCUAGGUCGAAUAGACGUAAGAUUAAAGACGUCUCAAUCGUCACUUUUAUAUCUUUUGUCAGGACUUUUGUAACCAUGUAAGCGAGACCGCAUUAUUGUAUAUGCGUAUGACUGUGUACUUCUGUGCAAAGUGUGUAUAUAUGUACGAGGUGACAAUAAUAUCAUAUCCGGUGGCACCUGACAUCCAUGAAAUCGAAUCUUCUCUCAUCAGAUUCGAUAGGAGGAAUUGAUAACUCCUUGUUCAGAAGAAAUAAAUACAUAAUAUAUAAGUGUACAAAGACCUUGAAAAGGCAGAGCAUACAAUUGGUGGGAAAAUUAAAAGAAAGGCGAAGGAAUAAAGAAAAAAGAAAAUUUGGCGUGUGUAUGUGAGAUGGGUUGAUGCGUUCGCGUCGAGGUUAACAUCUUUAUAUAUAAAAGAGAGGUUGUGUGCUGUCUGUCUCCUACGAUUUAGAUUCCUAACUACUCCCACAUAUUGCGGUGCAGUUUAACCAAAACCGGGUAUCAUAUAGUCGGGAUUCAUAUCGAGCCCUUCUGGGUAUUAGCGCGCGUCUACGAUGAGUCUACGAUUUAAAAAAAAAUUACCAUCAAUUUUUCCCAUUUUUAAUGCAUUUUUGGCAUAUAUAAGGGAAGUAACUCUCUAAAAAUUUAUUAUUAAAUCUCAGAACGUAUAAAGCUACAGUAACCCCCCCCCUUUGUGGUUAGUCAUAUUGAGAUGGCUAUUAUACUUUACAUCUCUAAAAAUGCUUAUAUAGUUAUUUCCCUUACAAACCCGAGCAACGCCGGGCGAUACUGCUAGUUCAGAAUGUAACCAAACGUGAAUGAUAAAUUUUGAUACUUUAGUAUGUACAGUCAAACGGCCAUACUCACUGCGGUCAUUCGAAUUACAGCAAUAUUUGGAAAUGAUGAAUAUUACAGAUCAUUCACUUCUACACCUAUGAGCUCUUGCUUACAUCAAAUACUCUAUCGAGAUUGUCAGUGGAUUGUAAAUAUAUUAAGUGACAGAUAAUCUAAGUGUAAAAUUACACGAUUUUGAAGCGUUAAGUGACAAUGUGUUUAUGAGUCGUAAACAUUAUCUAUAUUGUAUACAGAUAUGUAUGUCUAUGUGUGCGUGCGCGCGUGCAUGUGUGUGUAUAUCUAUCAAUCUAUCUAUCAAUAUACAUACACAUAUAACAUACACACGCAUAUCUAUGCUAUGUAUACAUAUACUGUGGGUAUACAACAUGUACUUGUAUAUAAUAUAUAUAUAUAUAAAUAUAUACUCUUUUACUUGUUUCAGUCAUUUGACUGCGUCCAUGCUGGACCACCGCCUUUAGUCGAGCAAAUCGACCCCAAGACUUAUUCUUUUUAAGCCUAGUACUUAUUCUAUCGGUCUCUUUUGCCGAACCAUUAAGUUACGAGGACCUAAACACACCAGCAUCGGUUGUCAAGCGAUGUUGGGGGGACAAACACAGACACACAAACAUAUACACACACACACACACACAAACACAUAUAUAUAUAUAUAUAUAUAUAUAUAUAUAUACAUACAUAUAUACGACAGGCUUCUUUCAGUUUCCGUCUACCAAAUCCACUCACAAGGCUUUGGUUGGCCCAAGGCUAUAGUACAAGACACUUGCCCAAGGUGCCACGCAGUGAGACUGAACCCGAAACCACGUGAAUGAGAAGCAAGCUUCUUUUAUUCAUUUAACUGGCCACUACGGAAGCUGCGGGCUGGACACACACAUAAAGAUUUGAAUGACAAAUGAAAUGGUGAAAAGUGAGGGCAACAAGCAAAACCCGCCGAUUCCUGUUUACCCUAAAGGCAGUAGGGUCUGGUUUGAACGAGAGGAACCGCUAUUUAUAUCAAGCUGAAGAAGUGUGAAGGUAUUUCUUGAUUGUCCAAAAGAAAAUUCUUCCAAGACUUGGAAAUAUUUUAUUAAGUAUAAGUGUAAACUAAAAACCUAUCAUGUAAACGCUAUGUUUGAGGUAGAUGGAGGCGCAAUGGCCCAGUGGUUAGGGCAGCGGACUCGCGGUCGUAGGAUCGCGGUUUCGAUUCCCAGACCGGGCGUUGUGAGUGUUUAUUGAGCGAAAACAUCUAAAGCUCCACGAGGCUCCAGCAGGGGAUGGUGGUGAUCCCUGCUGUACUUUUUCACCACAACUUUCUCUCACUCUUACUUCCUGUUUCUGUUGUACCUGUAUUUCAAAGGGCCGGCCUUGUCACUCUCUGUGUCACGCUGAAUAUCCCCGAGAACUACGUUAAGGGUAUACGUGUCUGUGGAGUGCUCAGCCACUUACACGUUAAUUUCACGAGCAGGCUGUUCCGUUGAUCGGAUCAACCGGAACCCUCAUCGUCAUAACCGACGGAGUGCUUCACAUGUUUGAGGUAGAAUGAAGACGUAACAUGCUUUUUGAAAUAGAGCAGAUCUUCCGAAAAAUUUCCCCCUCAGUGUGCUUACUUGCAACUGUUCAAAACUAAGUCCAUACACACUCUGUUUUUAUGACUGAUUUUAGAUUACACUUCCACCAACAGAGGAAAUUAAAAAUAUUUGUUUUGAAAAUUUAUCAUUUUACAUUCAAAUAGCAAUAAAAUGAAAAAUAUCAUAAACUGAUGUUAUUUCUUUUACACAUCAGAAAAUUAUGAAAAGGUAUUAGAACCAAACACAGAUUUCUGAAUUAACCUACGCCAUUAGUAACACAGUAAUUAAAAUGUAUACAAAAGAGAUCGUCAAAUUGAAAGUGGUCUGGUUUUUAUCUUUUAUCUUUUUACAAACAAGGCCUACUUCAAUUCUUCUAAAGUUCAGGCUUUAUAGGAUUGUAAUUGAACAAAAUCACAAAUCUAGAAUCAGAAAAAAUUUACAUCGUAGGGUAAAUUUACCUCUGUUUGGUGAUCUCUUAAUAUUGAAUGUCGGCAUAACAUUCAACGUAUGUUACUCCAUGGAAACCAAGUUCCCAUUGUUUUAUUUCACUUAACAAUUAGGUGCAAUCCAUAGAUCCAAUGUGCCAAAUAUUGCUUGUUUCUUGAUUAAAACUCUGCCCACAACUACAGGGUUUCUUUGUAUGUGUUUCCCUUCUUUUGAUUAAAAACUAGUCACUUAAAACUGACACGGACAUAACUUUAGAAGAGCAGAUAGACAUAAAGACUUGCUAAAGAUGUUAGUAUAAAUAUGAUUGAAAUAAAGAAAAGAUCAACUAGAAAUGAAGAUAAGAUAUACAAGAAUAUAGCAGGACGAUGUAACAAAGCGAUGGCACCCAAAGUGGAUCUACAGUUAUCCCGGAGUUCCGUGAAAACCUCGCGUUCUGCAAUAUAACAAAAUUAUAUCUAAUAAGAUAUUAUAAAGAAAAGGUGAUUUCAGCUUUCAAAAUAGUAAAUUAUUUUUAUCUGUAUUUCGUUUUUGGAUUUGGUUUGCAAGAUUCUCUAUAUGAGUUCGAGUGUUGAAGCAUAUUCUGUUGUGUCUGGGGAGAGUCAUUUUCUUUUUGUGCCUUAUAAUGUAACACACUCACCGGUAAAAUUUCCACUUAUUUCUUAUUUUUAUUUUCCUAAAAUUUUCGUUGCGUCUUGCAACCAUUUCAAUAGUCUCCCAGACACAACAGAAUAUUUUAUCUGUGUUUUAUAUGAAUUAAUUCUUUUUAAUUGCAUUUAGGAUGGGAGAAAUCAUCUUUUAUAUAUAGAUAGGAAUUCUACUGAUUUUGGAAUGUUUUAUGAAUGUUACGUGGUAAAAUUAGUUUAAGGAUACCUGUUGUAAAAUAGUUUACACCAAUAUUAUUCUAAAACUGUUUAGAUAUAAUGUUAUCCUACUGCUGCUAUUCACACCUUCUAAGGUGUAAAUAGGAAUGGCUAUGUGGUAAGUAGCCUGCUUAUCAACCACUCGGUUCCGGGUUCAUUCCCACUGCGUGGCACCUUGGGCAAGUGUCUUCUACUAUAGCCACUUGUGAGUGGAUUUGGUAGGCGGAAACUGAAAGAAGCCCAUCGUAUAUAUGUAUGUAUAUGUAUGUGUGUGUAUAUGUUUGUGUGUCUGCGUUUGUUCCCCCAACAUCGCUUGACAACCGAUGCUGGUGUGUUUACGUCCCCGUAACUUAGCGGUUCGGCAAAAGACACCGAUAGAAUAAGUACUAGGCUUACAAAGAAUAAGUCCUGGGGUCUAUUUGCUCGAUUAAAGGCGUAAUCCAGCAUGGCCGCAGUCUAAUGAAUGAAACAAGUAAAAGGGUAAAAGAGCAUCAAUGUAUGGCUUCUUCUUGGAUUCUGGGGUAAACGUGGUAUAUGUCAAAAGUUACAUAACCAUCAGAUCCGGUUUGAAAGAACUGGUUGUACUAACGAAUGUGUAAUUAAAUGUUCUUUCUACAGUCAACCGUGAUUCUUCAGCGGAUUUAUAAGAUUUAAUAAACCGGUAACAUUUUCACUGAGCUGAUUUGUCUCUUGGCAAAUCAGAAAUGCUUUAAAAUAAUUUUAAUUAACAUUACAUGUGAUAGAAUAACUUGCAGAAAAUUCAGGAAUUCUACUGUGGAAAUUGAUUAGGUUUUCAUGUUAGCUAAUCAGGUAUUCAAUAAGAUAACUAAUUAUACAUUCAUAUGAGAUUUUAUCUUGCAUUAAUUAUAUUUAUCAUAGCAGAAUUGUUGAAUUCUACUCAGGAUAGAGUAUUAAAACUACAAGUUGGCUUAACAUUUAUUUUUAAUAUCAAAUUCAUUUUAUUCAUAUCUUACUAUUCGAUCACUUGGAAUUAUACGGGAUACUAGUGGAGUACAGGCGGAUCCUUAUGCAUCUAAUUAGUCACUGCUAGAAAUAGCAGUCAGUUCUCCUUAUAUCAAAUAUCAUUGUUUCAAAUUGGAAGAUGCCUUCAAGAAUUCAGUUCUGAGUACAAUCCAAGUGUCACCUUUCUCCCAUUUUAUAAAAUGGGAGAAAGGUGACAAUUGGAUUGUUUUUGACCACAGAUGACGGGUGAUCUGGCGAUAAGCAACACUGUCCUCCUCCUCCUCCUCCUCCUCCUCACAAUCAUUACCAUUGACGACAACAGCAACAACAGCAGCAGCAGCCGUCCAAGAAUUUGAACCUGGAGAUGUCCAUUUCCAGCGACCUCGAGGGCCACCACCCAGUGGUGUCGGGCGUCAACGAAGAGCCCUCGACUACAACAAGACGACCUCAAGUACUGGCUCUACAAGAUCGACCGAGCCAUAGGCAAAUUUCUUUAUUACCCAUAAGGGUUCUACAGAAAUGGGGACAAUACAAUGAUUUGGGGUCGUGUGGAUGAAAUGGAAUUAUUUACAAUUAAAUCGAAUGAAUUAUUUACAAUGAAAUUGAAUGUGUUACCAGAACAAACGAACAAAAAGGGACAUAUGAAGUCAAAAAAACAGGAUAGCCGACCCCACAAGCCCUGUUAGCCAUAGACAGAACCUGCAGAAAGUGCGGAGUGGGAGAGGAGACAGCGGAGCAUGUCAUCUACGACUGUCCACAGAUCCAUCGCCUGCCGCAAAUGCCACCCCACCCCCAGACGCUCUGGCCAGUGACCCUACUUCUCCUUGUCCUUCGGAUCUGGGGAAAGUGGACUUCCGCUCCCAACCUGCCAGACGUCUCCCAACCCACAGAACGGACGCAGUGAAAUCCCUCUUACCCAUCUUGUUGCUUAACAACAACAACAACAACAGCAGCAGCAGCAACAUUCUGUAUUUUGCGCAGCAUUAAUCCAUUAAAAGGCAGUUUUCUUUGGUUCUGUGCCGGGUCAGCCUCUAACAGGAAAUAACGACAUGUAAUUCGGUUUUGUCAACAAAAGAUCCGGAACCCAAUGACAUCCGGUACAAAAUAUUGUCCUUACUUUCGCAAGCUUCCCUUCUCUAUCAUCAGUUAUAAACUGCUCAAAACACUUCGGUAAGAUCUGGCUAUAUCCUUGGAUACAGCUAGUAAAACAAGACAGCGUUACUUUUUCAACAACAGUUGUUUAGAGCUCGGGCUCCCAAUCUUGAGAUCGUGAGUUCGAUUGCCGAACUGAGCUGUUUAUUCUACUCUUCAGCAAGACACUUUAUUUCACAUUGCUCCAGUUCACUCAGCUGUAGAAAUGAAUUGCAACGUCACUGGUGCCAAAUUGUAUCGGCUUUUGCCUUCUCUUGGACAACAUCGGUGGCGUGAAGCGGGUAGGCUGGUGUGCAUACAAAACUACUGGUCUUCCAUGAACAAUUUUGCCCUGACUUGUACCACGGAGGGUAACUUUCUAGCUGCACUCUCAUGGUCAUUCAUGACCGGAGAGGGCUUUUACUCUAUUUGAAGGCCAAACUGGCAUAUGAAUCUGGUUUUCCAUCGAACAGAUAUAUAUCACUGUCAAGAAAACUAUAAGUUUAUCACUUGUCUAAAUUUUAUAUAUAAAUUUCAUAGGCGUAGCUAUGUGCAAGGAGUUUGCUUCCCAAAUACAUGGUUCCGGGUUCAGCCCUCCUGCGUGGCACCUUGCACUGGUGGCUUCUAAUAAAGUCUUGGACCGACUAAAGCCUUGUGAGUGGAUCUGAUUGACGGAAACUAAAAGAAGCCCGUCGUGUAUGUGUGUGUGAGUAUGAGUGUAUGUGUGUGUGUGUGCGUGCGUGUUAGUGCGUGUAUGUGCGUCUUUGUUCCUGUGUUUGUCCUUCCCGUCACCGCCUGACUACCGGUGUUGGUAUAUUUAUGUCCCCGUAAUCUAGCGGUUCGGCAAAAGACACCGGCAGAAUAAGUAAUAGGCUUAAUAAAUAAGUCCUGGUGUUGAUGUGUUCGACUAAACACCUUCAAGGCGGUGCUCCAGCAUGGCCGCAGUCAAAUGACUAAAACAAAUAAAAGAAUGCAAGUAUACUAUCUAAAUUUUUUUCCUCCUUGAACUUGACCCUAUUAUC